AAAAUUAAAAGGACGCGGUAACCUUGACCGUGAUAAUGUAGCAUAAUCAUUCGCCAUUUAAUUGAUGGAUAGUAUGAAUGGUUGAACGAAUAUUCCACUGUCUUAAAAAGAAAUAACAAAAAAUUAGAAUAAUAGUAAAGAUUCUAUUUAAAAUUGUAAGACGAAAAGACCCUAUAGAGCUUAACUAUAAGUUUUCUAAUUAAUAUUAAAAGAAAAUUUGGUAGUUUAGUUGGGGCGACUGUCUUUUAAAAAUAACAAAGACAAGCAAAAUUAACAUAAAAAUUUAUUGUAUAAUUAAUAAAUUUAACAAUUACAAAAGUAGGCUAUAAUGACCCGUUAUUAUUAUAUAAAAAAAAUAACGAUCAAUAAAUAAAAGCUACCUUAGGGAUAACAGGAUAAUUUUAUUUUAGAGAUCUAAUCGAAAAUAAAGUUUGUCACCUCUAUGUUGAAUUAAGA
rnacentral:rRNA from 1 species